rnacentral:tRNA from 1 species
GCUGACGUAGCUCAGUUGGUAGAGCACCUGCAUGGUAAGCAGGAGGUCUCGGGUUCAAAUCCCGACGUCAGCUCCA